GCUCGGUCAAGGCGAGAAUUAAUAUAAAGGUCAAACGCACGUAACAAAUUCUAUUAUCGAUUUCUUCGAAUUUCUUUUCUUUUAUGCUUUAUGGCAGAAAAUAAAUCAAACAAACAGUAUUUUGAAAGGGCUUCAUUAAAAUCUUUGACGAAUUUGGACACACACGACGCUGAAAGAACAGCCAAACUAGUCAUGUAUUCGAAAGCUUGUUGUUGACAGCCAAG